rnacentral:misc_RNA from 1 species
GGAAAUUCAUACUUAUUAUUUGAAAAAUUAGAUACAUAGGCGAAUAACAGUAAUGCAAAAUACAGCUGACAACCACUCAAACUACAUCAAGACCAAAUCUAAACCUUAUUGGCAGCAAACAAAUUCAAGUACUCCUCCAGCUAGUUCUUCAAAGUCUGAAUCAAGGACUGACCGCUCCGCCGGCCGGGUUGGGAACCUCGAACCCGGGGUUGGGAACGAAGGUGUCGUCAUUCCCCGGGAUGUAAUGGCCGCUGGCUGCAGCCGGGCCACUGUGGUCUAGGUCAGUAAAGGAAGGAAUGCCCUCGUGGCUGCCAAUCAUGUAGCGACCGAUCCCGGGGAUAAGGACACUGCCCUCCUGGUCGAGGCACUCCUUGUCCACUUUCUUGUCUGCAGCAGAAGCCGAAGUCGCAGGGACUCCGCGGCCUGCAGCUGCUGCUGCAGAGACAAGAAGCAAGAGUACGAGUACGAUGACAGAGGAGGAUGAGUAAGCCAUUGGAGUUAUGGGUAGCAGUAGAC